AUUGAACGCUGGCGGCAGGCCUAACACAUGCAAGUCGAGCGGUUGAAGGGAGCUUGCUCCUGGAUUCAGCGGCGGACGGGUGAGUAAUGCCUAGGAAUCUGCCUGGUAGUGGGGGAUAACGUCCGGAAACGGGAGCUAAUACCGCAUACGUCCUGAGGGAGAAAGUGGGGGAUCUUCGGACCUCACGCUAUCAGAUGAGCCUAGGUCGGAUUAGCUAGUUGGUGGGGUAAAGGCCUACCAAGGCGACGAUCCGUAACUGGUCUGAGAGGAUGAUCAGUCACACUGGAACUGAGACACGGUCCAGACUCCUACGGGAGGCAGCAGUGGGGAAUAUUGGACAAUGGGCGAAAGCCUGAUCCAGCCAUGCCGCGUGUGUGAAGAAGGUCUUCGGAUUGUAAAGCACUUUAAGUUGGGAGGAAGGGCAGUAAGUUAAUACCUUGCUGUUUUGACGUUACCAACAGAAUAAGCACCGGCUAACUUCGUG
rnacentral:rRNA from 1 species